UUUAAGGCUAAAAUUGGCAUUUUUUAAGUUAAGGGAAUUCAGAAAUUAGGACAACUAUGAACUCAACAGUGAGUCCUAUAAAGAGGAGAGUGUGGAUUUCCAGAGCAGAGUGGUUUUCCAUGGUACCCAAAUAUCCUGGGCACUAAUUUGAUAAGUUUAUGAGCUUCAGCUUUCUGAUCCUUGGGGAUACCAGCAAGGUGCUAGAACCCAAACCCUUCAUCUACAGAUGAAGAGAGCCACUUAAGUAAAGGAGGGACAUUUCAGACCUGCAAUGGCUCCUUCUCCGCAGGCAAUUUAGUAAUUUACAAUCCAACUUUAGAACCCUAAAGCCACAGCUAGUUUUGUCAGAGUCUGGCUAGGGGGACUUAGGAUGGGAAAGGAAGAAGGGAUAAGAAAAAUAAAAUCUGGUCAAGUUAUCAUUCUGAAAUAACCACAAAGAAUGACAGGACCUCUGUCCAGAAGGCACACGGCCCAGGAGCUGAAUAUUUAGGCACUAUAUUCUCAAAUGCCUGUUCUCUGAGCUUACAUAUUCCAUUGUUUCCAACAGUAAAUACCCCAUUCCAUGAAUGCUCUAAGACCCCAAAGAUUACCCUUUGACUGGGUCUGUGUAUAUUCUUCUAAAGCACUAAUGAUCAAAAUUGAAGACACAUUCAGAGAUUUGAUUGGUUGGGAUUAGCUGGUUUGGUGGUGGUUAGUGUAUUUGUGUUUUAUUUUUAUGUCUUUGUAUAUAGUUCUGCAUAAUUCAAAUUGUUCUUUCUUCCAGAUAAGACCACAUAACUGUAAUUAAUAUCAAUAAAGGGAAUAUUCCCGUGGAUUAAAAAAAUCAAACAACAACAAAAAAAUAAAACAAAAUUAGGCAUUUGGUGGGAGAUAGCUAGUCUGUAAAGUUAAGGAUUCUUGAGGUUUAGAAUCUACAGACACUUUCCAAAGCCCUAGCAGGACAUGAGUAAUGUGUCCAGAGAAUACUGUAUUUCUGUAAAAUAUACAAAAAGUCAAACUGUUUUAACAUCAGUUAGUCAAGACCACUGUCUCUUUCCACUUCUAUGCUUUGUUAGUUAUCCUUUCAUAUUGGUAGUAGAAAACAGCCUGUAAGGGGGCUGGGGUUGUGGCUCAGUGGUAGAGCACUCGCCUAGCAUGCAAGAUGCACUGGGUUCGAUCCUCAGCACCACCAUAAAUAUAAAGUAAAGAUAUUAUGUCCACCUAAAACUUAAGAGUAAAUAUUUAAAAAAAAAAAACCAGCCUAUAGGUACUUUUAAAUUCCA
rnacentral:lncRNA from 1 species